rnacentral:rRNA from 1 species
UACAGAGGUCUCAAGCGUUGUUCGGAUUCAUUGGGCGUAAAGGGCUCGUAGGUGGCCAACUAAGUCAGACGUGAAAUCCCUCGGCUUAACCGGGGAACUGCGUCUGAUACUGGAUGGCUUGAGUUCGGGAGAGGGAUGCGGAAUUCCAGGUGUAGCGGUGAAAUGCGUAGAUAUCAGGAGGAACACCGGUGGCGAAGGCGGCGUCCUGGACCAAUACUGACACUGAGGAGCGAAAGCCAGGGGAGCAAACGGG